rnacentral:lncRNA from 1 species
GCAGGGGAGCCCAUCGAUAAAAUGAAGGCUCCUCUGCAUUGUGACCGCUGAGAAAGUUGCAGGGUGUCAAAGGAAAUGACAUUGAAAUGAAGGCCCUGGAUGGGGCUGCAUACAGCAGGGAUAGGGAAGAAAGAGAUGUUGGCGGGACAACAAGGUCUGAAGGUGGCCCGGGAAGAUGGUCCUCAAACAGGUCAGCACCUGGACAGCUCCCUGUAGAGCUUAGGAAUGCGGGAGCAGGGGAUCUUUGCAAAAGGAAUUCUAAGUUUUUUCUUGGACCCAGUUGGACCCCAUCAUUGGCUGCUCACCGGAGACUAGGGAGUUCCUUUUCACUCGGUUACCUUCAUGAAGUUGCAUUUCAACAUUAGGCCCUUAACUUGAUAAAGAUCACUAAAGAAAAAUCACGUGAAAUUUACUACUUCAUUUGCUGCUUUAGAAAACCCGAAAUAUUGUUGAAGACCUCAUUCCUUCCGUUGCUCAGUCUCUGUUCUGUGUAAUAAAAUCAUUCCCAUGAAAUUUCCUUCAGAAUUCAGUGCCGGGAAAGGCUUCCACUCCUGGAGGCACACAUACGCUCCCUCUUCUCCAGUUAUGAGAACCCUAUAACUGGUCAUUGUUCCCACUUUUUGGACUGCUAAGAAAUGCAAAGCCAAGUUUGAGGAUCAAUGACAGCAAUUUUGGUAACUCUUGGGGGAAAUAUAUUCAUGUCU